rnacentral:rRNA from 1 species
UACAGAGGGGGCAAGCGUUAUUCGGAAUUAUUGGGCGUAAAGAGCUCGUAGGCGGUUUGUUGCGUCGGCUGUGAAAUCCCGAGGCUCAACCUCGGGUCUGCAGUCGAUACGAGCAAACUGGAGUGUUGCAGGGGAGACUGGAAUUCCUGGUGUAGCGGUGAAAUGCGCAGAUAUCAGGAGGAACACCGGUGGCGAAGGCGGGUCUCUGGGCAACAACUGACGCUGAGGAGCGAAAGCGUGGGGAGCGAACAGG